rnacentral:rRNA from 1 species
AUUGAACGCUGGCGGCAUGAUUUACACAUGCAAGUCGAACGGUAACAGGCCGCAAGGUGCUGACGAGUGGCGAACGGGUGAGUAGUGCAUCGGAACGUGCCCAGUCGUGGGGGAUAACUACUCGAAAGAGUAGCUAAUACCGCAUACGAUCUAUGGAUGAAGCGGGGGACCGUAAGGCCUCGCGCGAUUGGAGCGGCCGAUGUCAGAUUAGGUAGUUGGUGGGGUAAAGGCUCACCAAGCCAACGAUCUGUAGCUGGUCUGAGAGGACGACCAGCCACACUGGGACUGAGACACGGCCCAGACUCCUACGGGAGGCAGCAGUGGGGAAUUUUGGACAAUGGGCGCAAGCCUGAUCCAGCAAUGCCGCGUGCAGGAAGAAGGCCUUCGGGUUGUAAACUGCUUUUGUACGGAACGAAACGGCUCUGGUUAAUACCCGGGGCUAAUGACGGUACCGUAAGAAUAAGCACCGGCUAACUACGUG